AUCAUCACCAUGAGACUCCACAAGAAUGUGAUGUAUGCUGGAUGCUGCUGUUCUGUGUGUGUCCAGCUUUUGCUGUCCUCUCCUCUCUUCUCUCCUCGCUUCUGGUUUAUCACCUCUGUCAGAAAAAAGCUAAAGAACCUCAAGUUGAUCAGCAAAGACCUCAAACAGGACUGAAUCAGGAUGAAGAUGUGUGUUAUGCUGCAGUGGAAAUCCGUCAGGCAUCACAGAGACCAAAGAAGAAGAAAACCUAAAACCUAAAGCCUAAAACAAGACAACGACAUAAUAGAUAGUGAUGAUUGAUGACGCAUUGAGUAAUACAUUUGGAGGAAUACAUAUAGAUCAUUCUGUUACUUAACUUUUGCUUAAAGCUGAGCAACAGUCAUCAUUAACUGUGACUGAUAUGUACAAAAUGUUGUAUACAUAAAAUACGAUUGAUUUGUUGUUGUUUGUGUGUUUUCGAUGACUGAAAGUAAUUAUGUUUUCUAUGAGUUCAAACUAAACUCUGCCUCCAAUUUCCUUACACCACUUGUUGUAAAAAUAAAUAAA